GGGUCCUUAAAUCAAAUUAUGCUGAAAGGCUGGCGAUCUUAACUUUUAAAACUUUCACAACGGAUCUCUUGGUCUCGCAUCGAUGAAGAACGCAGCGAAAUGCGAUAAGUAAUGUGAAUUGCAGAAUUCAGUGAAUCAUCGAAUCUUUGAACGCACAUUGCGCCCUUUGGUAUUCCAUAGGGCAUGCCUGUUCGAGCGUCACUAAAAACCUCAUCACAAAGAGUGUGGUAUUGGCAGAAGUGGGUAGGGCUAGCAAGGAAGUGCUGGCCCCACUCUGCUGGAAUGAAUAGGCCGGAAAUGUAGACCAUGGUAACAGACUUUCAGAGUAUCGUCAAAUGCUAAAUUAGUUUGUAUGCUUGGUCAGAAUCUAGGCCAUUGGACCCCCAUUCUGUAUAAAGCAGCAAUGUUGACCUCGGAUCAGGUAGGGAUACCCGCUGAACUUAAGCAUAUCAAAAGCCGGAAGGA
rnacentral:rRNA from 1 species